UAGCGGGAGUUACUGGCAUGCUUCAGAAAGCUGACUUACAUUGGAACACAGUCUUAAUCAGUGCAGACCCUUAACUGACUUAAUCUUUGCUUGCAAAUGACAAUGCAGUGAAACCAGAAGAAGACAAUAAAUGACUUCGGAAACCUGAUAAAUAGUUAGCCUGACCCAGUUUUCAAUAAGAGAGAUUUUUCUGAUGACCCAACAGGAGUGACUAUCUCCAGUCAAAGAAAGGGGAGGAUGAAUUUAAUCUUUCAUGCCACUGGAAUGGCAGCUGCUCUCAGCUCUCUCUGAUUCUGUGAAGGAUGGUGAAGAUAGAGCUGAUUUUUCAAUAUAGGGAGAAUUUUCCUCUUGAAUAUUCCAAACGGGAGAUUUGCACAUGUGCCUCAAGAACUAAUUGUCUAGGUUCCGUCAGGAAUGCAGCAGGAGGGGAGCGUAUUUCAUGCUUAAGACCAGAGAAGAGCCACGCAAUACUCAGUGGAUAAAAGGCUUGCAGUCCCAGCUGGGAAAAAGAGUCCCAUUAUCUCCCAGCUGCAUAGACAUUCCAUACGGCUUGGUUCUGCCUGGAUGCACAGCAUGCCUGGCUGAGAGCUUGAAACAGAGUUCUGCAGAAAAAUUGUAAAGAUCCCGAGACAUUUCCCUGACUCUUGAGCUACUGACUGGAAGAUAGACACUUUUUUUCCUGCUGAUUGUAUGGGAGAAAUUUUGACCUUAGAAAGUGGAAAUGAGGUUGCUAUGGAAACUGGUAAUUCUGCUGCCACUCAUAAAUACUUGUGCAGCACUAGAAGGAAAUGAUUGGUAUGCAGAUAAGGAUGUUGGCCUUUAGUAGAUGGGAAUAUGGGGAAUUGUGCUUUCGACUCCAAAUCUUUGAAAAAGAGAGUCAACUUUUCUCUGGAGGUAAUAGCAUCAGACAUAGCUUAUUGACACAGACUACUAUCAAGGCAAAUCUUCAUCAAGUACAGAGGAUUUUGUCAUUACUCUAUGUCAAGAUCCAAUUUCCUAUGAAGUUCAAACCAUCUAAUCAAGCAUUCAAAUUCAAUUUCCUUCAACAAAUAUUGAAAGUUCUCCAAUUAAAUUAAUUCAACCUGUGUCCUGAGCCAUUUCUUCUCUUUCUCUCCUUCAUGUAUCCUUCAUAUAAGUCAGACGGUGCAACCAAUGAGAUCUCUGCACUUUUUUUUCUUUUUUUUUUCUUUUUUUUAUAAUUUUUUUUUUAAUUUUUACUUAUU
rnacentral:lncRNA from 1 species